AUUGCCUAUAACAGCAUGAAAUUACAGCCAGAACUGAUCAGCCUGGCAGCAGAUAAGGGAAGCUGUCAAGUGUGGCAGCAUGUUAUUACACAGGGGAUUGGAAGGAGGGGGCCGGAAGCCCUGUGCACUGUGGCUCUGGGGUACACUGGUGGGUGUGCUGGUGCUCCAGGGGCUAUGGGGUCUCUCCUGGUGGUGGUGGGGAUGGGCAAUGUGUGAGCUCACAAAGCACAAAGGAUUAUUGCCCUAGGAACACCUGUACCUCGCAGCUGAUUUGGCCUUUAUUUGGUUCUCACAGGGUCUGUCCCAGGUUUGCAGGGAUGGAUGCCAGCACUGCUCCUGUCCUCUCCACCCCUACGUGUUGAAAGGAGGACUCUGUGGCUCCAGUUGGCUGCUGGAUCGAGGACUGCAUUAGCAUUGACCUCAGGAGAGCCCACGCAACAAAUAAUGGCUUUAAAUAAUGGCUUUCUUCCCCGGGAGCAGACUUCAGAGAGGAGUUUCCUGCUGCUGUGUUCCUGCCCACCCUCUGAUGCUGCAGGUGCACACCGGCUGAGUGAGCCCUGUGAUGAAUUGAACUGUGCUUUGCUUAAUAAAGAGGUUGAAGGCGCAUCGUCCUUUGCAAGCUCCUCUCCUCCAGCUCAAGGAUCUGGGGUGAGCCCAGCAGCCAAAGGAGCAUCAGGCAAUGCUGGAGCAAUUCCUCCAGGGUCUCUCCAGCAACAGGAGGCUCCACACCUGCAAAGUCAAAGUGGUCACCCCUGCUUGGCUGCCGCUAAUGCCCCUAAUCGCUGCCAGAUCCCCAGGGAUUUACAGACUGGGCAGAGCCUAAGCCAGGCUCAUGGGGUGGGGACAAGACCCAGCCCCCACACUGCACACCCUGACACACCUUCUUGCUGCUGCCCUAUGCUCCAGCAAUCACUGAGCAUUGAGCUGCUGAGGCCCAGCAGUGAUAUCACUCUGCACUGAGGGCAUGAAGCCAUGCUGUUGGGGGAUUUCUGUGCGUGCUUCUCGGUUAAUCCCUAUAAAAGUGAGAGCCAGAACUUGUCUUCACUCUCCCCACAGUAAUUCAGCUGUGUUAGCACCGGUCACAAUACUACACCUGGGUUUCGGCAGCAGCAGCUCCCAGGGCACUGUGCACCAAGUGGGAUCCAUCAGGAGCAGGGAUCUGUCCUACUGAGAAUUCCCAUGGCCAUGACUAUCCCAUAAUAGGAACAAACCUUUGUCAGAGGCUGCAUAGGGCAGUGAAUUCUCCAGAAGCACAUUGUGUCCAGGACACCUUGCAGCAUCCCCACAUCCUCAACCCAUUCCAUCUUCUCCAUGUCCCACACUUCCACACUAAUUAAAGCUGCUACAUAAUUCCCCGCAGCCUCCCCGCUGCCCUGUAUUAUUCAUCAGAAAGCAGGCAGCCCUGACAAGCUGCUCUGUGGUAUUAACAAGAAAAAGGAUUAAUGGGCUGUUGGGAGCUCCCAGAGCCCUCACGGAGGAUGGGACCUGGUGUAGGGCUGAGCAUGGGGCCACAUUGGCCCUAACCCAGCACUGCCCCAGGAACUGCCAAGGCAGGUGGGUGCUGCACAUCAACCAGGUGUAACCUUCAUUAGCCAGGUUCAUCCC
rnacentral:lncRNA from 1 species